rnacentral:rRNA from 1 species
GACUGUACAAAGGUAGCAUAAUCAUUUGUCUCUUAAUUGGGGACUGGUAUGAAUGGUCGGAUGAGAAAUAUACUUUCUUUAUUUUAUAUAAAAAAAUUGAUUUUUUAGUUAAAAAGCUAAAAUUAUUUUAUAGGACGAGAAGACCCUAUAGAACUUUAUAUAUCGAUAUAUAUAUAAAUUAUAUAUUUUUAAAUUUAUAUAUGUUUGGAUAUAUUAUGUUGGGGUGACAAAAAAAAUUAUAUAACUUUUUUUAUAUACAACAUUUAUAUAUGUUUUUUUGAUCCUUUAUUAUGGAUAAUAAGAUUAAGUUACCUUAGGGAUAACAGCGUUAUUUUUUCGGAGAGUUCAUAUUGAUGAAGAAGUUUGCGACCUCGAUGUUGGAUUAAAAUAAGUUACAGGGGUAUAAUAUUGUAUACUAGGUCUGUUCGACCUUUAAAUUUUUACA